GAAGGUUUUCGGAUCGUAAAACUCUGUUGUUAGGGAAGAACAAGUAUCGUUCGAAUAGGGCGGUACCUUGACGGUACCUAACCAGAAAGCCACGGCUAACUACGUGCCAGCAGCCGCGGUAAUACGUAGGUGGCAAGCGUUGUCCGGAAUUAUUGGGCGUAAAGCGCGCGCAGGCGGUUUCUUAAGUCUGAUGUGAAAUCUUGCGGCUCAACCGCAAGCGGCCAUUGGAAACUGGGAGACUUGAGUGCAGAAGAGGAGAGUGGAAUUCCACGUGUAGCGGUGAAAUGCGUAGAGAUGUGGAGGAACACCAGUGGCGAAGGCGACUCUCUGGUCUGUAACUGACGCUGAGGCGCGAAAGCGUGGGGAGCGAACAGGAUUAGAUACCCUGGUAGUCCACGCCGUAAACGAUGAGUGCUAAGUGUUAGAGGGUUUCCGCCCUUUAGUGCUGCAGCUAACGCAUUAAGCACUCCGCCUGGGGAGUACGGCCGCAAGGCUGAAACUCAAAGGAAUUGACGGGGGCCCGCACAAGCGGUGGAGCAUGUGGUUUAAUUCGAAGCAACGCGAAGAACCUUACCAGGUCUUGACAUCCUCUUGACCUCCCUAGAGAUAGGGAUUUCCCUUCGGGGACAGGAGUGACAGGUGGUGCAUGGUGUCC
rnacentral:rRNA from 1 species